rnacentral:rRNA from 1 species
UCCAGACUCCUACGGGAGGCAGCAGUGGGGGAUAUUGCACAAUGGGGGAAACCCUGAUGCAGCGACGCCGCGUGAGUGAAGAAGUAUUUCGGUAUGUAAAGCUCUAUCAGCAGGGAAGAAAAAAGACGGUACCUGACUAAGAAGCCCCGGCUAACUACGUGCCAGCAGCCGCGGUAAUACGUAGGGGGCAAGCGUUAUCCGGAUUUACUGGGUGUAAAGGGAGCGUAGACGGCAAUACAAGUCGGAAGUGAAAUACCCGGGCUCAACCUGGGAAUUGCUUUGGAAACUGUAUGGCUGGAGUGCUGGAGAGGUAAGCGGAAUUCCUAGUGUAGCGGUGAAAUGCGUAGAUAUUAGGAGGAACACCAGUGGCGAAGGCGGCUUACUGGACAGUAACUGACGUUGAGGCUCGAAAGCGUGGGGAGCAAACAGGAUUAGAUACCCGGGUAGA